rnacentral:lncRNA from 1 species
CGAAUCGACGAUCGGCUCCAUUAGACUUAAUCUAGCGUAUUUGACUAUCUAGAAAAUAAUUUUUGUGAUUUUUCGGUAUCAUUUUCCUAGCGAUCGACAGGGUUCAAAAUCAAUAAUUUUAAUGGUUGAUGUAGACCAUUUGAAAGUUAGAAGUAUUCAAAUCAAAUGAAAUUUUGAUAGAAAAUUCUUUAUACUAUUUACAGCAAGAUCAAUAUGUUUGAUCGAAAAUUUUAAUGCUAUAUCACCACUUUUUGUGAGAUUUUUAUUUUCAACCAUUGAUUUUUGAACCCGUUCGAUUGUUAGGUAAAUGAUAUCGAAAAAUCACAAAAUUUAUUUUCUAGAUACUUCAAAUAUGUUAGAUCAAGUCUAACGGAGUUGAUUGUCGAUUCGGAAGCUCCAUCAUCGAAAAUGACUUAAGAGCACGGAAACCUCCGUACUCCUAAUAGCACACAAGACCUACUCUAUUUUAUAUAUAUAUAUAUAGAGAGAGAGAGAGAGAGAGAGAGAGAGAGAGAGCUAGGCUACUAUACUAUCUAUAGUACCUCCGGUACUAUAGUUUUGGUUUUCGAUCUUAGGGCGUUCAAAUCAAUGAUCCACACCGUUAAAACUGAUUUAGGGUAUUUAAAGUUUCUAGAAAUAAAAUUAUAUAUUUUUUCGACAUAGUUUACUUUAUGAUCAAACUAUUUCAAAAUUGUCAAUUCUCAAUGGCUAUUAUGACAAGUUUGGAGUUUAAUGGUGUAGAAGAAUCUAAAUUUCUUCAAAUUUUGAUAGAAAAUACUUUAAACUAUAUAGAUUAAGGUUAAUAUUCUUGAUCUUGAAUUUAAAAGUCAUAGACUCAAAUUUUGAAGAUUAUUCAAUUUUCACCGUCCAUUUUGAUAUAAUUUAUUUACUAAGUAAACGAUAUCGAAAAAAACUAAAGUUUUAUUCCUAAAACAUUCAUAUACCCUAUAUCAUAUUUAAUGGCGUGGAUCGUUGAUUUGAACGUCCUAAGAUUGAAAACAAACACUAUAGUACCGGAGCUCGGUACUAUAGAUAGUAUAGUAGCCUAAUUCUAUAUAUAUAUAUAUAUGCAAUAUCCCUUGGAUUUCGACUCUUUUCACUGAACACUUUAGUAUAUAGAAUUUCUUAGUAAGUUAUAAUAUUAUGGGAAAAUUUCUAAAACCUCUCUCUUGUGGUUUCACACUUUUUUAUUUUAGUAUUCUAUAAUUUAAAAUGUAUCAAGUUAGUACCCUGUGAUUUCUCACUUUAUCACGUUAGUAUCCUGUGGUUUAAAUUGUAUCACGUUAGUACUCUGUGGUUUUAUUUUUGUAUCAAGUUAGUACACUGUGGUUUUAUUUUGUAUCAAGUUAGUACUCUGUGGUUUUUAAACCACAGGGUACUAAAGUGAUAAAGUGCGAAACCACAGGAUACUAAAAUGAUAAAGUGCGAAACCACAGGGUACUAACUUGAUACACUUUAAAUCAUAGGGUACUAAAGUGAAAAAGUACAAAACCACGUGAUACUAAUUUGAUACACUUUAAACCACAUGAUACUAAAAUGAGAAAAAAUGAAACCACAAGGGGGUAUUUGAAGUUUUCCCUAAUAUUAUUCUUAGCUAGUACGUAGUACGAGAAAGGUGACAACAAGUGAACUUUUCCAAAGAAAUAAUCGCUUAAUUUAGACAAUAAAAUGAUCAUUAUUUUGCUUAAAUUGAACGUUAGGAAGCUAUUUGAUGGGAGGGAUAGAAUAGCCGAAGAAAAUUUUGAACUUUUCUAAUGGUUUGAUAUGAAAUUGUAAUAAACGAAAAUUUUAGUUAAAAGUUUAAAAAGCAAUAUAAUAUUAAUGAAGUAUAAAAACUAUCCAAGCAUUUUAUUUAUACACCACCAAGUGCCAACCAAUCAUUAUAUUGUCUUUUAAAAGAUGGAAAAGAAAAUAUUUAGUCCUCCUUUGAUAUUUGUAUCUAGUUUUAAAUUAAUUUCUUUUUAAAGAACUUAUAUAUAAAAGUGUAGGGAUGGACAAUAGAUUGCUUGAAUUUUUUUUUUUUUUUUUGGCUUCUAAAAUUUUUUUCAAAGAGUUUGUCAUUUACUACUUGAGCCAGUGUGCAUAAUAAAUUAACCGAUGAUGAAAAUAAAAUAUGUACAUAUAUAUUUUUACUGAUAUAUCAAAUUACAAAGGAUUAGUGGUAAAAAAAAAGUAGAAAAAUGCCAAAUAAGGCCUUAUAUAGCUCUCUAUUCAAUUAUUCUUAUAUAUUACUAAGUGUAAAGCUCCUACGCUUUUAAAAAAUAUAAGAGAGUAAGUAUUUUCGAUUUUUUUGUUCUUUGAUCAAGAAUUGUAUAAUCAGAAUGAUAAUGAUCUUUUUUAGGGUUAAAUAGAGUUGAGUAAUCCUCUUAGAAUAAUAAUAUUAUCCAAAGAUCAGAAAUGACCGGAAGGGUUGAUCGAAGUGCCAAAAAGUUUGAAAAUACUAACUCAAUUAUAAUUUCAAAAGCAUAUAUAUAGUAGCUCUACUCUAUUGUUAAUAUGCUAAUUAUUAUAAAAUGGACGUAUAUACACACUACGAUGUAUCAUGUGAAUUCAUUAACACAUUAACAGCAUAUAAAAGUAAUAAAACAAAGACACACGAUACCCCAAGUGAUGCCCUAAUUUUUUAAGAGUGCACAAAGAAAGAACCAAAUUAAUCAACUAAUUAUUAUUCCAAGAGAAUCCCUGACUAGCUCCUUGAGUGGAAGCCAAAACCAUCCAAUGACACAAGCACCAACAGGAACAACAACAGUGACUUAUUCCCCCUCCCCAUGUCCACAACUCCACAGUACAUCAUGUCCUUCUCCAUGGGGGCAGGUUCAAUAUAUUGUAGUAGUAGUAGUAGUAGUAGUAAUAGUUGUUGUUGUUGUUGUUGUUGUAGCUAUAUUUAUUCCAGCAGAGAAACCUAGAAGAGUCAUCAUGAUUCCAGUUCCUAAAUAAGGAGGGGGGAAAAGAAAACAGGAGAGUUUGGCAAGUUACAUGGUCCCUUUUUCUUUGUCCUCUUCUUCUUUAUCUUUCCCCUCCUACUAUCAUGUUUAUGAGAUCUCUCUCUCUCUCUCUCUCUUCUCUCUCUCUUUUUGUGGGUAGGUAUAUAUAUGGUACUAUUGAAACUGACUCCCAAAAAAAAAAAAAACAACAUUAAAGCAGCAAACAAGGACAGUAGGGGUCAUUCAAUGGUGGGGUGGGGUUUACAGUGAAAGGAGUUGUGAAAAGAUCAUCACUGUGGUAAUUUAAAGAGAGGAUGUAGAGAUACAGGGAAAGUUUGACAGGGUGGUGAAAAGAUUCUCUCACCAUUUCAGAGCCAAAAAAAGAAAGAAAAAAAGGGGGGAAAAAAAAGAAUAAGAGAGAGAAAACAAGAGCCAUAGAAUAGCAUGAGAAAUCAUGAGAAGAUCUUUUUAGAUAAGGAUAAGUGUUGAUGCUAGUCAAUUCUUUAAUUUUAAUCUCAACUAUUAUUCAUUGACUAUUUAAUUUUUAAAAUUUUAAUUUAACUAUCUAAUUUUUAAAAUUAUUCGAUUUGAGCCCAUUGGUAAUACUUUAACUUCAACUUUUAAAUGCAUCGUUAAUAUUUACAGAUUAAAUCUGUAUAUUUUAUACAAUUCACGUAAUUAUAAAUUCAGAAUUAAUUUAGAUUUUAUACCCGAAGAGUCAUCAAAUCAGUUAAAUCAAAUAAAUUGAAAAUUUAAAUUAUGACAUGACUCACACUAAUAUUAGAUAUAUAUAUAUAUAUAUAUAUAUAUAGCUCUCAAUACCAUAAUAUUUGAAAUACAUCUCAUUACAUACAAAUAUCUAAUAUAAUUACAUAGAAAGGGAUGGAGAAUUGAGCUCCUAUAUUUUUAAAAAUAUUUAAGCCAUUAGUGCUAUAGAUUUUUGGCUCUUGGAUUAAGUCAUUAGUGUUGGUAGUGGGGAAUAUGACUUGUUAGGCAUUUACAAGUUCAGCUCAAAUAAAGGACGCAUCAAAAUGUAAUGAAACUCUCUAUCAUGCAUUUAUGUUUUGUUCUACUUUUGGAAAAUAAAAAAAAAAAAUAGGUCGACCAUUUUUCCUGGUUUUUGGGUGAGGUCUCAGAAACGGCCUUCGAGGGCUCACGUGGGUGGCGUUGCAGGGUAAAAGGAAACGGCUUUUGGAAACAUCCCAACAAACUCUGCACCAAAUUUCGUUUGCUUCCUCGGAAACACGGGGGACUUGUGAUCCCUCCCGUGGGCGAUAUUUGAACUAAAAUGCGAUCACUUACUUACAGAAACAAACAAAAUAUUUUUCAUUGUGUUUUGUAUUUUCUCACGACACACAGCGCGUUGUUUUCACAACCCAGACGUAACAUCGGUUCAGUAUUGCACUGCUCGAUCAGAUGUGUCUGCGCGCUUUGAUACUUUAGAUUGUACGGUAUCGAUCAUACGAGUUCAUGAAGUAGCUGAAGCUUAGAACCGAUUUGCAAAAUAAAGUAACAACAACUUCUCGCUUGUGUAACAGUCUGAAUUAUUUAGAUAACUUUACUCAAACAGCACCAUUUUUAAAAGCUUUGGCUCUACCAAAAGGUAUUAAAGUUGUAUGGUAUAGUUAAAUUCUCCCUGAGCUUAUGGGGGAAGCGCCACCAACAACUUUGACCAAUUAAUGAAGAGAAUAUAUAUAUAUAUAUAUAUAUAUAUAUAUAUAUAUAUAUAUAUAUAUAUAUAUAUAUGAAUGUACGGGCCAAUAUUUAGCUCCAUGCGAAUAAUAUAGAUUACAUGAUGUGGAAUAUAUGCAAAAUCCAACUUGCCACUAAAGUGGAAACUGCUCGAGUGAAUCAAAAUCGAUAUUUUUGUUUUUUUUUUAUCAUUCCCAAAAGAACAAAUUGGUCAACAAGAUUAUGAUUCUUAAUUUCUUUUCUUUGCAUAAUUUUAUGAUGCUAAUCAAAAUAUGUUGCAUAAGUGAGACUGAUCGGUUACUGCAGACUUAUUUGGCAAGAUUUUGUUGAAGCAGCUUCUCUGCUCUGAAAAGUAAGCGAAUGCAUGUUUAAAAUAUCGAAUUGAAAGCCUAAUAUGAAAAUGAGCUUCUAAUAUGAAAACUAAUACGGGGAUCAACUUAAAUAUUCUGUUUCGAACAACUAUGUUCAAACAGUACUUUUUCAUAUGCUUUAAACUUGGUUCACUUUCAUGUUGACGAUCCUUUUACUAAAUAAGAUUCUCAGUGGCACACGCUAUUUACCUCCCAUGCAUGCACUUUUUAAGGACCCAAGGAGAGCCACGAAUUCGACAAAAAAAGAAGUCAUGAACACAAAUCCUAGAUCUACAUAACUAAGAUUCCUAGCUAGCAACACUACUGUUGAUUGGUUCACAAGGCACAAAUUAUGUAAAGUGCAGCAAUUGUUGACCUAAAAAGGUGUCCAAUUUGUAACGUAACCCUUGAGCUAAUGCAUAAGCCAAGUAGCAUAAAGCAAACAAAAGAACCAUACAUGGAACAAUGAGUAUCUCCAGUUUUAUUAUGCCCCCACUUUGACUGUCCCAAGUGUGGCAGGAAAGUUUGGCACAGCUCCUUUUUUGCUUUUGGAAAAAAAAAAAAAGAGAAAAUCAAAAAGGGAUCUUACUCUUUGGUCGAGAGAGUACUCGUGUUCACACUUACAAUUUCCUUAAGAACCUACCGUGAAAAAGAUGUCACAAUGUUGUAUUUUAUGAACACAGUACAAAGUAUUGUAUUUUAUAAACACGAAUCGAUAAAACAUAACAUUUUAUCGUCUUGUGAUUUGGAUGUAAAUGUAGAAAAACAAAGCUUAUGCGUGAUAGGAGAGCAAAAUUACUAUUUAUGAUGUGAGGAGAAGAUGCCAAGCUGAAAAUGUGUCAUAUCACUGGAGAGCUUUUUGGCGUUUACCCUCUUUUUUUUUUUCUCUUUUUAAGACUAGAUUAUACUUUUAGGAAGCAUUUGAUAUUUUGGAUCUUCUUAAGAUCAAAUUUGUUAUAAUGUUUUGCUGAAAAUUUUCAGUUAUAGUGAUCUAAGUUCUUCAAAGGACUAGCAUCAUAAGAAUGUGAUAGUACUAUGAUAAUAUUGACAUACUAAUAAAUAAUAUUUUAUAUUAUUGUCACAUAAGCAAUACAUUAUUCUCUAAUCAGCUAAUUAAAUUGUAAAAUAAAUUAUGUUGCAACAACCUAAACAGUUCAUCCAAAAACUAUAAUAAACCAAUAAUUUAAGGAUCAAAUUAAGACAUCGUAUUGCUCCCCAUUAUUCUUAGAACUAAAUUAAAUCUCUGCCACGCUCUAUAUAUAUAUAUAUAUAUAUAUAUAUAUAGAGAGAGAGAGAGAGAGAGAGAGAGAGAGAAAAAGUUGAGCUAGAAUAUUAUCGAUAGCAAACCGACUUUAUUGCCACCCAUUUGUUUUCAAUGAUGGGGCUUUUAAAUCGACAAUCGGUACCAUUGAAUAUGAUCUAUACCACUUGGAGUGUUUAGAAAUCAAAUUUCAUGUAUGUUCAAUAUUGUUCUUUUAUCCAUCAAGUGGACACAAAAAUAAACAACUGAAAAUAAAUAUUUUUUAAAAAAUGAUGAUAGAAAUCUUAUAAUCAAGAUCAAGAGUAUAGAUCUUGUUUUAAAUAGUUUAAACAAUUUUCUAACAAAAAUUUAUUUGAUUUGAAUAUUUUUACGCCAUUAAACGAGAAAAUGCCUCAUAUCGAUUAUUAAAAUUACAAAAUUUGAAACUCUUUGAUCAUUAGACAAAUAAUGUCUAAAAAUUUAAAACUUGAUUUCUAAAUACUUCAAGCGGUAUAGAUCAUGUUCAACAGUGUCGAUCGUCGAUUUGAAAUCUCUAUCAUAAAAAACAAAUGGAUAGCAAUCGAAUUCGUAUUCUAGGUCAACUAUAUAUAUAUAUAUAUAUAUAUAGUCCGGAUACUAUGCUAUUGGUAGCACGGAGCGCUCCGUGCUACCAAGUUGUUUUCGAUGAUGCAGCUUCCAAAUCGACGAUCGGCUCCGUUAGACUUGAUCCACACUAUUGAAAGUAUUUGGAAACUAAAUUUCAGAUUUUUUCGACAUCAUUUGACUAGUGAUCAAAAGAUCUCAAAAUUAACAAUUUUAAUGGCCAAUGUGGUGUGUUUGUGAGUUUAACGGUAUAAAACAAUCCAAAUGCGAUGAAAAUUUUAUAGAAAAUUCUUUUCACUAUUUAGAGUAAGAUCAGUAUAUCUGAUCUUGAAUUUAAAUCUUUUAUCAUGCAUCGAAAAUUUUUUAUUUCAGCCCGUUCAAUUUUAGACUACUUAUUUGAUAGGUAAAUGAUAUCGAAAA